rnacentral:rRNA from 1 species
CCUACGGGGGGCUGCAGUGGGGAAUAUAGGACAAUGGGGGCAACCCUGAUCCAGCCAUGCCGCGUGUGUGAAGAAGGCCCUCGGGUUGUAAAGCACUUUCAGUGAGGAAGAACGCCUGGUGGUUAAUACCCAUCAGGAAAGACAUCACUCACAGAAGAAGCACCGGCUAACUCCGUGCCAGCAGCCGCGGUAAUACGGAGGGUGCGAGCGUUAAUCGGAAUUACUGGGCGUAAAGCGCGCGUAGGUGGCUUGAUAAGCCGGUUGUGAAAGCCCCGGGCUCAACCUGGGAACGGCAUCCGGAACUGUCAAGCUAGAGUGCAGGAGAGGAAGGUAGAAUUCCCGGUGUAGCGGUGAAAUGCGUAGAGAUCGGGAGGAAUACCAGUGGCGAAGGCGGCCUUCUGGACUGACACUGACACUGAGGUGCGAAAGCGUGGGUAGCAAACAGGAUUAGAUACCCUGGUAGUC